rnacentral:rRNA from 1 species
CGGAGGGUGCAAGCGUUAUCCGGAUUCACUGGGUUUAAAGGGUGCGUAGGCGGGUAUGUAAGUCCGUGGUGAAAUCUCCGAGCUUAACUCGGAAACUGCCAUGGGUACUGCGUAUCUUGAAUGUUGUGGAGGUGAGCGGAAUAUGUCAUGUAGCGGUGAAAUGCUUAGAUAUGACAUAGAACACCAAUUGCGAAGGCAGCUCACUACACAAAUAUUGACGCUGAGGCACGAAAGCGUGGGAUCAAACAGGAUU